rnacentral:rRNA from 1 species
AUGUCGCCCUCGGAGGACAUCUCACUUCCUUUCAAACUUAAGAGGAAACAGUUCCCCAUUCGCCUGAGUUUUGUGAUGACAACUAACAAGGCGCAGGGUCAGACUAUCCCAAACGUCGGUAUUUACCUUCCCGAGCCAGUAUUCUCACAUGGUCAGCUAUAUGUUGCAUUGUCAAGGGGAGUGUCCAGAGAGACGACGCGGAUUUUGGCCAAGCCAAACAACGAGGUUGAUAAAUCUGGGAAAAGCACCAAGAACAUUGUCUAUAGAGAUGUUUUGGGGAGAUGA